AAUCAACGCUGGCGGCGUGCCUCAGACAUGCAAGUUGAACGAUUAAAGCUCUCUUCGGAGAGUGCAUAAAGUGGCGCACGGGUGAGUAACACGUAAGUAAUCUACCCUCGAGUGGGGAAUAACGUCCGGAAACGGACGCUAAUACCGCAUAACGCAGCGGCACCGCAAGGUGACAGUUGUUAAAGGAGAAAUCCGCUUGAGGAGGAGCUUGCGGCAGAUUAGCUUGNGGUAAGGUAACGGCUUACCAAGGCUACGAUCUGUAACCGGUCUAAGAGGACGGUCGGUCACACUGACACUGAAUAACGGGUCAGACUCCUACGGGAGGCAGCAGUCGGGAAUUUUGGGCAAUGGGGGAAACCCUGACCCAGCAACGCCGCGUGAAGGAUGAAGUAUUUCGGUAUGUAAACUU
rnacentral:rRNA from 1 species